GCGGGUGUAGCUCAGUGGUAGAGCACGACCUUGCCAAGGUCGGGGUCGCGAGUUCGAGCCUCGUCACCCGCUCCA
rnacentral:tRNA from 3 species